UACGUAGGGUGCAAGCGUUGUCCGGAAUUAUUGGGCGUAAAGAGCUCGUAGGCGGUUUGUCGCGUCGGCUGUGAAAGCCCGGAGCUCAACUCCGGGUCUGCAGUCGAUACGGGCAGACUUGAGUGUUGCAGGGGAGACUGGAAUUCCUGGUGUAGCGGUGAAAUGCGCAGAUAGUCAGGAGGAACACCGGUGGCGAAGGCGGGUCACUGGCCCGGUACUGACGCUGAGGUGCGAAGGCGUGGGGAGCGAACGGG
rnacentral:rRNA from 1 species